UAUCAUCUGAUAGCUCUAAUG
rnacentral:misc_RNA from 1 species